GACAGAGGGUGCAAACGUUGUUCGGAAUUACUGGGCGUAAAGCGAGUGUAGGCGGUGUGGUAAGUCGGAUGUGAAAGCCCCGGGCUCAACCCGGGAAGUGCACUCGAUACUGCCACGCUAGAGUAUCGGAGAGGUUGGUGGAAUUCUCGGUGUAGAGGUGAAAUUCGUAGAUAUUCGGAAGAACACCAGUGGCGAAGGCGACUUACUGGACACAUACUGACGCUGAGGUGCGAAAGCGUGGGGAGCAAACAGG
rnacentral:rRNA from 1 species